rnacentral:tRNA from 1 species
GGGGAUGUAGCUUAGAUGGUAGAGCGCGCGCUUAGCAUGCGUGAGGUACCGGGAUCGAUACCCGGCACCUCCA